GCACGCCAGCCCCUCUCCCCUCUCCCCUUCGGGCGCACCCACCCCAGAUGCCGCCUGGCACCGAGCGCAGCCGCCGCCGUCACCGCAGCACUUUCCACUUGUAUUGAUCACCUCCCAGCUCUGCUCAGCCUGCUCGCCGGAGCGGAGCGCGGCCAGCGCGCCAGCCCUUGGCAGCUCCGGCGCAGUCGGGCUCCGGGAGGAAACUCCUUGGGAGCGCCCUGUCCGGGGUGCCCUCUGCGCUCUGCAGUGUCUUUCUCUCUGCCUGGGAGGAGGAGGAGGAGGAGGACGUCUGGUCCCGGCUGGGAGGUGGAGCAGCGGCAGCAGCAGCCGCCGAGGCAGCCGCCGCCGCCUCCGGAAAGGGAGAGGCAGGAGAGAUCGAGACUUGGAAACCCCAAAGUGUUCGCGACCCUGCACGGCAGGCUCCCUUCCAGCUUCAUGGGCAAAGUGUGGAAACAGCAGAUGUACCCUCAAUACGCCACCUACUACUACCCCCAGUAUCUGCAAGCGAAGCAGUCUCUGGUCCCAGCGCACCCCAUGGCCCCUCCCAGUCCCAGCACCACCAGCAGUAAUAACAACAGUAGCAGCAGUAGCAACUCAGGAUGGGAUCAGCUAAGCAAAACGAACCUCUACAUCCGAGGCUUGCCCCCCAACACCACCGACCAGGACCUGGUGAAGCUCUGUCAACCAUAUGGGAAAAUAGUUUCCACAAAGGCAAUUUUGGAUAAGACAACAAACAAAUGCAAAGGUUAUGGUUUUGUUGACUUCGACAGUCCUGCAGCAGCUCAGAAAGCCGUGUCGGCCCUGAAGGCUAGUGGAGUUCAGGCUCAAAUGGCCAAGCAACAGGAACAGGAUCCUACCAACCUGUAUAUUUCUAAUUUGCCCCUGUCCAUGGAUGAGCAAGAACUUGAAAAUAUGCUCAAACCCUUUGGACAAGUUAUUUCUACAAGGAUACUACGUGAUUCCAGUGGUACAAGUCGCGGUGUUGGCUUUGCUAGGAUGGAAUCUACAGAAAAAUGCGAAGCUGUAAUUGGUCAUUUUAAUGGAAAAUUCAUCAAGACACCGCCAGGAGUUUCUGCUCCUACAGAACCUUUAUUGUGCAAAUUUGCGGAUGGAGGACAGAAGAAGAGACAGAACCCAAACAAAUACAUCCCUAAUGGAAGACCAUGGCACCGAGAAGGAGAGGUGAGACUUGCUGGAAUGACACUCACUUACGACCCAACCACAGCUGCUAUACAGAACGGAUUUUAUCCUUCACCAUACAGUAUUGCUACAAACCGAAUGAUCACUCAAACUUCUCUUACACCCUAUAUUGCAUCUCCUGUAUCUGCCUACCAGGUGGCAAAGGAAACCAGAGAAAACAAGUAUCGGGGCUCUACUAUCAAGGUGCAAAGUCCUUCUUGGAUGCAACCUCAACCAUAUAUCCUGCAGCACCCCGGUGCCGUGUUAACUCCCUCAAUGGAGCAUACCAUGUCACUACAGCCUGCAUCUAUGAUCAGCCCUCUGGCCCAGCAGAUGAGUCAUCUUUCACUAGGCAGCACCGGAACAUACAUGCCUGCAACGUCAGCUAUGCAAGGAGCCUACUUGCCACAGUAUACACACAUGCAGACGACGGCGGUUCCUGUCGAGGAGGCGAGUGGUCAGCAGCAGGUGGCUGUAGAGACGUCUAAUGACCAUUCUCCAUAUUCCUUUCAACCCAAUAAGUAACUGUGAGAUGUACAGAAGGGUGUUCUUACAUGAAGAAGGGUGUGAAGGCUGAACAAUCAUGGAUUUUUCUGAUCAAUUGUGCUUUAGGAAAUUAUUGACAGUUUUGCACAGGUAAAUUUGAAAAAUAAAAAUGACUUGGCACUUUUAAAGGUAACUUCACCAAAGACCGAAGAGCCAGUAACCAGUAGCUCCAACUUGUCUCAGCAUCACAUCUUCUGUGCUCUUUAUUUUUGCCGGACCAGUUUGCGGUUAGGAGAAUGUGCCUUUUUUGUACCUUUGAAUUUAGGUUUUAUAAUUUUAAUUGAUGUAUGGACACACACAAACAAACAAAAAAAAAGCAUGAAGGAAGAUUUGGAUCCAAGCAGUGCCACACUUUACAUCAUCACUACAAGUGUUCAAGUGUAAAGAAAACCAAUUUUGAAACUAUGAAAUUCCUGAUUCAUAAAUACACAGUUAUUUCUACUUUAGUACAUAUGAGAUGAUUCACUGUUAUUAAAGCUCUUUUAUUAAGGCAAUUGCAUAUGUUUUCAAAGCAAUGGUAAAUUAAGUUGUCUUCCAAAACUGUGUACUUGUCUGGUCAGCUGUGUAUGAUCAGUUAUCUACCUCAGAGUCUAUUUUCUUUUGUGCUGGGACAGGUUGCUGGCCCUCCCUGUUUCCACAGACCAAAUCCUCCUAGCUCAGGAGCUAGGCCUAAGCAGUUAUUUCUUUUGAGUAUUUUUUAGUUCUUAAAUUUUAUUGCUUGUAUUUGAUUAUAGAUGUCAGUGACAUUUCAUAGUUUCAAAAAUCCUUGCUGCUCUGAGAAGUGUAGAUUCUAGUGAAAAUUACAUAGUCAUAAGAGAAAUGUGUUUGUUUUGUUUUUGUUUCCUUUUUUUUAAAGUUGUGGUAUUAUUGGUUCUACGCUCCCUGGAAUAUUACUGCUUUGUGAAAGUCCAGACUGAACGCAGCACCCUCCGUGUACCUAGUACAUUUAUAAACCUGGGUCUCUCACUACUUGAUAUUUUUGCAUUAGUUAAGACAGAAAUUUGAUAGCUCAGUUAGAGGGGAGGGGAAAUCUGCUGCUAGAAAUGUCUGAACUAAGUGCCAUACUCGUCUGGGUAAGAUUUGGGAAACAUAACCUCUGUACAUAAAAAAAAUAAAAAUAAAAAAAAAUCAGUUAAACAUCACAUAGUAGACAGCCAUUAAAUUAUAAAAAAUUAAUUUAUGAAGAAAGACCUUUUGUACAGAUUGAAAAAAAAAGAUUUUCAUAGAGAUAUCUAUAUGAUCAAGAGAGUUAAUUUUUUAUUUUUGUUUUACUAGUGCCACAAACUUGCCAGUGGUAACUUAUUUGUCCGGUUCAAGAUAACUCUGUAGUUUUCUUUCCUAGGACUUGUUGUUAAACGCCAAAAGACAUUUUUGAACUGUACAUUUGAUCAGAUUGUUAGCUUUUUCUGUUUUAUUUCUUUUGAGAACCUUUGAAUAAAAAACAUCUGAAACUUUA